GACGAACGCUGGCGGCGUGCUUAACACAUGCAAGUCGAGGGGGUGAGCAAUCACUCACCGGCGAACGGGUGCGUAACACGUGAGCGACCUGCCCACUUGUGGGGUAUAGCCGGCCCAACGGCCGGGUAAUCCCGCAUACGCUUCUCUGGCUGCAAGGCCGGAGGAGGAAAGCCGUAAGGCGCAAGUGGAGGGGCUCGCGGCCUAUCAGCUAGUUGGCGGGGUUAACGGCCCACCAAGGCAAUGACGGGUAGCUGGUCUGAGAGGAUGGCCAGCCACAUUGGGACUGAGAUACGGCCCAGACUCCUACGGGAGGCAGCAGUGGGGAAUCUUGCGCAAUGGUCGAAAGACUGACGCAGCGACGCCGCGUGCGGGAGGAAGCCCCUUCGGGGUGUAAACCGCUGUUACUCGGGACGAAUCUCCUGCUUUGGCAGGAUUGACGGUACUGGGGGCAGGAAGCACCGGCUAACUCUGUGCCAGCAGCCGCGGUAAUACAGAGGGUGCGAGCGUUGUCCGGAAUCACUGGGCGUAAAGGGCGCGCAGGCGGCUUUUUCAAGCGUGCGGUGAAAGCUCGGGGCUUAACUCCGAGNCUGCCGUGCGAACUGGGAGGCUUGAGUC
rnacentral:rRNA from 1 species